rnacentral:rRNA from 1 species
UACGGAGGGUGCAAGCGUUAAUCGGAAUUACUGGGCGUAAAGCGCGCGUAGGCGGCUUAUUAAGUCGGAUGUGAAAUCCCCGGGCUCAACCUGGGAAUGGCCUCCGAGACUGGUAAGCUAGAGUGCAAGAGAGGGUGGUGGAAUUUCUAGUGUAGCGGUGAAAUGCGUAGAUAUUAGAAGGAACAUCAGUGGCGAAGGCGACCACCUGGCUUGACACUGACGCUGAGGUGCGAAAGCAUGGGGAGCAAACAGGAUUAGAUACCCUGGUAGUCCAUGCCGUAAACGAUGUCUACUAGCCGUUGGGACCCUUGAGGUUUUAGUGGCGCAGUUAACGCGAUAAGUAGACCGCCUGGGGAGUACGGCCGCAAGGUUAAA